rnacentral:rRNA from 1 species
GAUGAACGCUGGCGGCGUGCCUAAUACAUGCAAGUCGAGCGAACAGACGAGGAGCUUGCUCCUCUGACGUUAGCGGCGGACGGGUGAGUAACACGUGGAUAACCUACCUAUAAGACUGGGAUAACUUCGGGAAACCGGAUCUAAUACCGGAUAAUAUAUUGAACCGCAUGGUUCAAUAGUGAAAGACGGUUUUGCUGUCACUUAUAGAUGGAUCCGCGCCGCAUUAGCUAGUUGGUAAGGUAACGGCUUACCAAGGCAACGAUGCGUAGCCGACCUGAGAGGGUGAUCGGCCACCCGGGAACUGAGACACGGUCCAGACUCCUACGGGAGGCAGCAGUAGGGAAUCUUCCGCAAUGGGCGAAAGCCUGACGGAGCAACGCCGCGUGAGUGAUGAAGGUCUUCGGAUCGUAAAACUCUGUUAUGAGGGAAGAACAAAUGUGUAAGUAACUAUGCACGUCUUGACGGUACCUAAUCAGAAAGCCACGGCUAACUACGUG